GUGCUUUUUUUUCCCUUUAUACACGUGAAAAAAAAUAUAAUUUAUUUGUAAAAAUAUUAUCUGCCUUAUUACACAUACUUAACCUUUUGUUCACUUAAUUAUGCUGACCCUAUUCUUUUAUAUCUUUAUGCUACUUAUCCCUUUUUCUUAUCCCUUUUUUUUUUUUUUUUUUUUUUUUUUUUUUGUAGGCAUAAUAUGGCAUCUAUUCGGACUCGUCAAAAUAUAUCAAAGCUUUUACACACAUGGGAUAAAAAAUAUACACAAAAAACAUAACCAAUUACAUUGUUUAAAAUAUGACGAUGUGUAUAAUGCGAAUAAUAUUGCUGAAAAAAAUGAUAAAAUAAAAAAACUGAAUAAAGAAAUGGCAACUUUUAUUUGGUCUUCUAAUAUCGGUAUGCAUGAAAACCAAAAUUUAGAACAUAUAAAAAAUUAUCAAAUUGAUCAUAGACUACUUCUGUACAUAUAUGAUAAUAUAUACUCUUUAAACUUUUCAUUUGUUAAUGUUUAUUCGAAACAAAAAAAGAAAACUAUUAACAAUUAUGAAGUAGAUAUGAUACAAUUGUUAGAAGGAGAAUACAUGAAAAUGAUUAUAAAAAUUACUAACACUUCUAUUUUGCCUGUUAACUAUUUAUGUGUAUGUAUUGCUCCUUGUACUAUUUUUAACUGUUAUAAAAUUGUAUGUAACAAGGACGAAGAAUACUUUUUAAAUGGUAACAAAAGAAAUAAAGAAAACGCUUACGACCAGCGGACAAACCGUUUAAAGAGGUAUUACAUACCUACGAAUGAGACAGCUGGUCAAUAUAAAACUAACCACGCAAAUGAUGGUACUAUCCCAAAAAUGACCAUACAAAACGAUAUGUAUUGUGAAAAUUUGAUCAGUAACGACAUUAACGUGUUCAGGCAAAAAUUUAAAUAUAAAAAUGUUCAACAUAUAAAAAUUUAUGGUGAUAUAAAAAAAAAUGAUACACUGUUUUUACAUGUGAAAGUCAAUUCUAAUUAUAGCGGGUUACAUAAGUGCCUAAUUACUGCUUUAUGUUCAUAUGAAAAUGAUAAUAACAUAUUAAAACAUAAUGAUGAACAAAUAAAUAAUAAUUUAAAAAAUAGGAAAAAAUCACCUAAUUUGUUAAUAAAAGAAAAUAAUAAAAACCAACAAAAUGAUGUAACAUAUUUAGACACCUUAAUAAAAAAAAAAGAAAAUUGUUAUUUAUUUUUAAGAUUAACACACAUUAUCCCAUUAAUUAAAUUAGACGCUUACCUACUAAACAAAUGUGAUAGUCAAAAUGUGUUUUUUUAUUUUCUUUUCAGAAACAUGUGUCAAUAUAGUACUUAUUUGUGUAGUAUAGCGCUUGAGCAAAAAGGGAGACUGAAGAAUGGUAAUGUAAAAAAGGGGGGACAAAGCGGGAAAAGCGGGAAAAGCGGGAAAAGCGGGAAAAGCGAGAAAAGCGGACAAAGGGGGAAAAGCAGAAAAAGCGGGAAAAGCGGACAAAGUGGACAAAGUGGACAAAGCGGACAAAGUGGACAAAGCGGACAAAGUGGACAAAGCGGACAAAGUGGACAAAGCGGACAAAGCGGACAAAGCGGACAAAGCGGACAAUCCAAACAGGACGAUAACAACCAAAGCAGUCAUAAAAAAAGCCAAAUAAAUAAAAACCCACGGUAUAUCAAAUUAUGUAAUUUUUAUUCCCCUAGUUAUUUAUACAUUAAAAAAAAAAAAAACUUGACAGCACUAUUAUACGCAAAAAACGAUUUACAUUAUAACAGCUCAUCUUAUGAUGUACAUAUAAGUUGGGUAGCAAAAGCAAAAGAUGGUUUUAGAAAAGGGUAUAUAAAAAAAACAAUUAAUUUUGUUAACGAACUAAUAAAUUUUUCUGUUGAUCCAAUUGAUAGUGAUAUAGUUAUGAACAAACAAAAAGAAAAAGUUCUUAAAAUUGGUAUAAAUAUACAUAAUAAUUUGAACAUAGAUCUUAAAAAUUUUUAUGUACAGGCAAAGGAAGUAGAAGCAAUGAAUUCGUUUUUUUAUUUAAGAGAUGCUGAUCAAAGUGAUGACAUCAGCACAUGUGAAGGUCAUUAUGACAAUAUGCGUGGCUAUAUGUAUAAUUACGAAUAUAAUAAGCAACACGAUGAAAGUUCUUUCAUUUUAAGAAGCGAAGAAGAAUAUGAAACACGUUAUAUUAAUGAUAAUAAUAAUGACCAAAUCAACUUUAAUAAUGAAGAAUAUUCACAAGAAACGAAUAAAAACGAAAUAAAUACAAACGAAAUAAAUACAAACGAAAUAAAUACAGACGAAAUAAAUACAAACGAAAUAAACACAACCGGAAUAAAUACAAACGAAAUAAAUACAACCGGAAUAAAUACAACCGGAAUAAAUACAAACGAAUUAAAUACAAACGAAUUAAAUACAACCGGAAUAAAUACAAACGAAUUAAAUACAAACGAAAUAAAUACAACCGGAAUAAAUACAAACGAAUUAAAUUAUGAAAAAACUGACAUAUUAAACAAAAAAGAUAUAGAACCAAUUGAAAUUAAUAAUCUAUCAUCAUUUUCAGAAUAUAGUGAUGCCAGCAGUAUGGCGAGUAUCAGUAGUAGUGUACUUUAUUUUAAACAAUUUACGAAAGAAAAUGAUAAAAAGUUAUAUCAGCAAAUAUCUAAUAAUGAAAAGAACCGUAAGAAUAAAAAAAGUUAUAGUAACAGCAGUAGUAAUUGUAAUAAUGAUAAACAUUAUGAAUAUGUUCAUAACAAUAUAUCAUGCUUUUCUUACGAGGCAAAUCUUAACGAUGAUAUAAAUAUCCAAAAAAAUAAUAUAAUAGAAAAAAUACAUGACUCUAACUAUUUACCUAUAACAGCUAGCUAUAAAUUUAAUAAAAAUUUUAAUAUCUCUUUCUUAAAUUGUGCACCUUCUACAUACGGCGUUAAUAAUAGCAUUAACAAUAUCAAUUGCGACAUGAAUGGAGAUUUAAAUGGAAAUAUUGAUAGUGAUCUAAAUGCUAAUGAAAAUAACGAUGAAAAUAACGAUAAAAAUAACGAUAAAAAUAACGAUAAAAAUAACGAUA
ensembl:lncRNA